rnacentral:rRNA from 1 species
UACAGAGGUCUCAAGCGUUGUUCGGAUUCAUUGGGCGUAAAGGGUGCGUAGGCGGCGCGGUAAGUCGGGUGUGAAAUCUCGGAGCUUAACUCCGAAACUGCAUUCGAUACUGCGGUGCUUGAGGACUGGAGAGGAGACUGGAAUUCAUGGUGUAGCAGUGAAAUGCGCAGAUAUCAGGAAGAACACCAAUGGCGAAGGCAGCUCUCUGGGACGGUACUGACGCUGAGACGCGAAAGCGUGGGGAGCGAACAGG